AGGAUUAACGCUGGCGGCGUGCCUAACACAUGCAAGUCGAACGAGGGGGGCAACCCCCGAGUGGCAGACGGGUGAGUAACGCGUGGUCAACCUACCCUAGAGUGGGGAAUAACUAGCCGAAAGGUUAGCUAAUACCGCAUGAUACGUUUUGGGACAUCCCAGGACGUUGAAAGGAGCAAUCCGCUCGAGGACGGGACCGCGUCCGAUUAGCUAGUUGGUGAGGUAACGGCCCACCAAGGCUCCGAUCGGUAGCUGGUUUGAGAGAGCGACCAGCCACACUGGGACUGAGAAACGGCCCAGACUCCUACGGGAGGCAGCAGUGAGGAAUUUCCGCAAUGGGCGAAAGCCUGACGGAGCGACGCCGCGUGUGGGAAGAAGGCCUUCGGGUCGUAAACCACUGUCGAAGGGACUAUACUGAAGGUACCCUUGGAGGAAGCCCCGGCUAACUACGUGCCAGCAGCCGC
rnacentral:rRNA from 1 species